rnacentral:rRNA from 1 species
GACGAACGCUGGCGGCGUGCCUAAUACAUGCAAGUCGAGCGAAUGGAUGGGAGCUUGCUCCCUGAAGUUAGCGGCGGACGGGUGAGUAACACGUGGGCAACCUGCCUGUAAGACUGGGAUAACUUCGGGAAACCGGAGCUAAUACCGGAUACAGUCUUUCUUCGCCUGAAGAAAGAUGGAAAGAUGGUUUCGGCUAUCACUUACAGAUGGGCCCGCGGCGCAUUAGCUAGUUGGUGAGGUAACGGCUCACGCAAGCAACGAUGCGUAGCCGACCUGAGAGGGUGAUCGGCCACACUGGGACUGAGACACGGCCCAGACUCCUACGGGAGGCAGCAGUAGGGAAUCUUCCGCAAUGGACGAAAGUCUGACGGAGCAACGCCGCGUGAGCGAAGAAGGCCUUCGGGUCGUAAAGCUCUGUUGUUAGGGAAGAACAAGUACCAGAGUAACUGCUGGUACCUUGACGGUACCUAACCAGAAAGCCACGGCUAACUACGUGCCAGCAGCCGCCGUAAGAC